GAUGAACGCUGGCGGCGUGCCUAACACAUGCCAGUCGAGCGGAGUGGAGACGAAGUGCUUGCAUGGAGACUCCAUUCAGCGGCGGACGGGUGAGUAACACGUGAGCAACCUACCUUCUUCUGGGGGAUAACACUGGGAAACUGGUGCUAAUACCGCAUAACGUCCCACUGUCACAUGGCGGAGGGACCAAAGGAGCAAUCCGGUGGAAGAUGGGCUCGCGGCCGAUUAGAUAGUUGGUGAGGUAACGGCCCACCAAGUCUGCGAUCGGUAGCCGGACUGAGAGGUCGAACGGCCACAUUGGGACUGAGACACGGCCCAGACUCCUACGGGAGGCUG
rnacentral:rRNA from 1 species